UGUUAUCUGCCUCUUUUUUUCGUACCUAAAGGCAUGUUCGCUCUUCCGGAGGUUUCGAGACGGCCGGAUAUUCCCCGAAGACUUGUGGCGACGGCAAUUUCUUCGGCGAGCGCGUUGGAUCUGCAAGGUAACAGAAACACUCCCAUUUUUCCCUGUUUGACUCGAGAGAUUUCAUUGCCUACCUCGUUCGUGGGUCCAAAAGAAUUGGGGGAUUUCUCCUCUCGGAGCUGAGAGGCCAGUGAGCGAGCAGCGGGAGAUGGGAAUGGAGCGCCAGCAAUCGAGCGAAGACGCGGUUGGCAAGAAGAAGAAGAAGGACGUCAAGGAUCCGGCUGGCCCCAAAGCGCUGCACAAGACGAAGCUCGUCAAAGCCACAGGUAACAACAAUGCCGAUCAAGUAAGUCACCUGGAGAAGAAAGAAGAAAAUGCCAAUCCAGCUGAGAACAAGCGGACCGAUUCUUCUGGUGCUCCAAAAUCUCAGGACCCAGCAGCUCAAGGAGCCGAGACUCUGCUGCAAGACAUAGAGACUCCUGUUCAUCAGAAAAAAAUAUCACGGCAGCAAAUGGAAAAGUUACCGACAAAGCAGCCUCCGACAAAAACGAAGACUCCUCCUCCUGAGCAGCUGCAGA
rnacentral:lncRNA from 1 species